rnacentral:rRNA from 1 species
UGCGAAGGGGGCUAGCGUUGCUCGGAAUCACUGGGCGUAAAGGGUGCGUAGGCGGGUCUUUAAGUCAGGGGUGAAAUCCUGGAGCUCAACUCCAGAACUGCCUUUGAUACUGGCAAUCUCGAGUCCGGGAGAGGUGAGUGGAACUGCGAGUGUAGAGGUGAAAUUCGUAGAUAUUCGCAAGAACACCAGGGGCGAAGGCGGCUCACUGGCCCGGUACUGACGCUGAGGUGCGAAAGCGUGGGAGCAAACAGG